UAACUUUCUCCCAGUUCUGGAGGCUGGAAGUGCAGGGUCACGGGGCUGACAGGGUUGGUUUCUGGUGAGACCCCGUCCCGGCUGGCAGACGCUCUAAGUCCCUCCAAAGGCCCUUGGCAUAGUGUUCCAACUGUGCUGGGAGAAGGCAGCCAUGGCUUUGAUCAUGGGGUGACAUGGGGACAGUAUUCGGGGGAACCAAUAUGGCAUCAACGUGAAGAUGGAUGGAGAGGGAAUAAAUGAGGCGGUCAAGCCCCUCGGGGGGAGACUAAGCAAAUCCAAACGUGCGGAGUUGAGUAUCUAGACUGACAGAGCAGCGGAGUUGAGACGGGGGGCUGCGUUUCAGAGACAUCCAAGGAAAGAUGGAAAGAAGGAAGUUUAGCUGGAAGGAGGGGGGGGGCAGCAAUGAGGAAGAGCUACAGACAUCCCAGUGAGGGAACCCGGAUGCCUAAGAGGCCGUGCCCGUGGGAACCUGGCUGGCACUCCUGCGUGGGCACCUGUGAUGUUUAGGAGGGCUGACAUCUCGUGGACCAACGUUCAGCCGUGGGGAGAUGGGCACUGGUGGUGGGUACUCUUCCCGGAUCCCUAUCCCUCUACCUGGUUGACCUCCCAACAUCAGCUACCUGCACACCACCCUUCUCCGAAGCUGGAUUUUUGGUGGCUCAGGCCUGCCUGCUCAACUGGCCCCGAGCACCCAAAUGCAGACGAGGCACGUCUCCGUGAUUCUCCGAUUGGAAGUACCCGGCCACCGGUGGCGACCCCAGGAUCUCGCGGCAUCUACUCCUGCAAAGCCGGCUGCUCUGUGCCUGACGCACGGGGCCGACAGCCAGGCUUAUUUCCGCAUCAGCUGCACCUUGAGGAGCCUAGCACUGAGCACCACGCUACGGGAGACAUUCUUUAUUUUCCUUCAUUAUUUUCUUUAAGAUUCAGAAUGCAAGGACCUUGGUGUCACCACAACCCUACUUCACAGGUGGGGAAACUGAGGUCAGAAAGUUGAAGUGGCUUCCCCAGAGUCCCCAGGCAGCGGGUGACAGAGCUGGAGUCAAGUCAAAGCCUCUGCCCCACCCAGGACAGGUGUCACUGCUCUGUGUCUGGGGGCCGAUAACCGUAUUCUUACAAAAUUAGCAGGCGGUUCAUCCGAGGGCCCCGGGGCUCUUUUCCAGGCUUUCCCAGCGCGUUGGGUAUUUCUGCCGAAAACUGGGGCAACGCACUUACAAGAUAAUGCAAUGACUUGAUUCUGUCUGCGUCCCUGUUAAAUUUAUUUUAAAAUGUCAGAAUGGUAAUGUGACACGUGCAUUUCACGUGUUGACUGAACAGCUGGUAGUUUUUUUUUUACUUUUUUAAAAAAAUGUUUACUUAUUUAUUUUUGAGAGAGAGAGAGAGAGAGAGAGAGAGAGAAUAAGAACGCAAGAGCAGGGGAGGGGCAGAGAGAGACAGGGAGACCCAGAAUCUGAAGCAGGGAAUCUGCAGCGGGUUCCAGGCUCCGAGCGGGGCCCGAACUCACGAACUUCGAGACCCUGAGCUGAAGUCAGACGCUUAACAGACUGAGCUACCCAGGCACCCCUUUUGCUUUUAAUGAAGCGAUGGAUUUAAUAACUAGUUAAUAGCCAGUGAAGAUGGUUAAGCCAGCUGUUGACAGAUGUCAUUCAAGUGUUUCUUUCUAAAGCAUGUGAUUUAAAGGAAAACACCAUGUAGGUUCGUGACCCGCUGCCUCACCUGUGCCACCUAAAGGCAUGUGUGGACAGGUUCCCUGCACAUAUCCUCUGCUUCAUCCUUUCUCCUCCUUUCCUCUUCGUGCUUUGUUGCCCCAGGUUUGGGGGCCCCCCAUCUACCUCAUGGCGUUCAUUGUAUAUCACUGUGCUUCUCCUGCCUUCCAUCUGCUUGGAAUGGGUUCCCUCUGGGACCGUCCAACUCCUAUUCAUCCAUCAAAACCCAACGUGGGCCUCUUUUCCAGGCAGGUUCCCUGAAACCUGAGCUAACAGGUGCUCCCACAGCCCCCAGGGACACUGCCAUGUCUGGCCCUGCAUAUGCGCCUGCUAUCACUGCCAUAACAAAUUACUGUAAGUUCAGUGGCUUAAAGCAAUGCAAAUUUAUUAUUUUGCAGUUCUGGAAGCCAGACGCCCAUCCUGGGUCUCCCUGGGCUAAAACCAAGGUGUCCGCAGGAUUGCACUCCUUUCCGGAGGCUCUAGGGGGGAUCCACACCGCCACCCUUUUUGGCUUCUAGAGGCUGCCUGUGUCCCUUGACUUGAGUUCCCUUCCUCCUCCUGCAAAGACAGCAUGAAGGGUUAAGUCCUUCCCACAUCCAGCCACUCUGACUUCUGCUUUCUGCUUGCCUGGUCACCUCUCUUGGACUCUGACCCUCCUGCUUUCCUCUAAAGUGCCCCCUCACACGAGGUCUUUAACGUCCUCACAUCUGCUUGUUGCCACAUGAGGUGGGGGGAUUAGGACAUGGCCGUCUCUGGAAGGAGGCACUAUUCUGCCCCAUCUCCUGUCCUUGUUUACAGCUCUUACUAGAACGUAAGUGCCUUGGGGCAGAGCCCGCGUCUCGUUCGUCUUGCUUUUCUAUCCCCCACCACUAGAUCGGACCCAUCGUGGGACCUUCAUAAAUACAUGAACUGAGUUCACCUGCCUCCCCACUACCUGGAAUCACAUCCCGCCAACCCGCUGAAGCACUAGCUCUUGCCUGCAUCGUUCGGGGACCGCUCCUGCCCCAGGAUGAUGCACAGUUGAACCGGGAGCUCCUGGAGACUACACCCUUUGGGCUCAGAGGAAGAAGAAUCUAGAAGUGGAAGGGGAGGCUGUGGGAUCCUCAGGCAUGCACCAGCUACCCACCGCUCUGCUUGGCGGGGCAGGAGCCCGGAGAGCCCUCUUGCCUGAGCAGACCCAGACCAACAAUGUUAGUUUCUAGCAUCUCUGCUGACUCCCGUUGCCGCAGACCAAGCCGUAGAGCCCAGAGCGGUGCGUGGGGCUCGCAGGGCAGAUCCAGGGUGUCUAGACAAAGCUGCUCGUUGGCAGGACCCUUCCCAUCCCCUGCCCACUGGAAUCAACGGCUGUUGGAUCCUUCUUGGCUCUGGGCUCUUGGUAUAUUCCCAGUGUACACCUUUGUCUCCCACCUGCCUCACUUUUAGGCUCCCACGCGUGCAGGGUGAGCCUGGCUGCGUCCCCCCACCCCUUGCACUGCACGCCUCUCUGCUGUGCUCCCCGUGAUCCGCCCCUGGGCUCGGCCGGCCAGCCUGAACCCCAUCAAAGGCAGGCUUAAAAAAAAAAAGAAAAACAAACCCAUGCCGGAAGAGAAUGAGUGUUUCGGCACAGAAACAGAAACCGCCUAAGGAAAGAGCGUGUAGAUGCGAGCAUCACAGCACGGGGGGCAGUCUGUGCUGUUGCCCGGCCUGCGCAGGACCCAGGGCGGCUUCUCCGGAUCCCAGCCAGCGGCUCAGACGUGUUCUCUCUCCAUGGGGUUCUCUCCGGAGGAGUCCCGGGGGGAGGCGUGGAGCCCACCUCUCCUGUGCCGGCAGGCAGACAGAGCAUAAGCACGGACGUCAGCAGUUAGAGUCUCCCAAGGCCCUCCUGCUGGGCUGCUGGGGGCCUAGGUUUGUGCACCGCCCCCCCAAUCCCCAACAGUGGCCUUCUUCGGACACGCUGGGAGCCUCUAUGGACCUCAAAUGCCAGCUUCUCUGAGCUGCUCUGUGUUGCUCUGAAGGGAAGGCAGAUAACGACCUUGACCGGGCGGUUGCCCUGCCUGAGCCCGUUCAGCAGCACUAAAGCCAGACUCUGAAGGGCUCUCAAGUCAGACCCGGCCCCGGUUCUGAUUGGCUGCACCACUCUGCUUGCUGGUCCCGCCUCCCGAUCCGGGGUCUACCUCAGCGGUCGGCUUGCUUUUCUUGUUAAGGACCAGAUAGCAAAGAUUUUUGGCCGUGAGGUCUUGAGAGCAGCUACUCAUCUUGGCCACUGUGGUGCAGAAGCAGCCAUGGACAAUGUAUAAAAAAGCGGGCGUGGUUGUGUUACCCAGAAAGCAGGCAGCCGCCAGAUUUGGCCCACAGUUUGCUGACCCCUGUUCUAAUUCGUAAAAUGAGGAUCGUGAAGGUAUUUAUUAGAUAGGACCGUUGAGAAAAUAAGGCUCUCGGCGCAGAACGUGACAGACACUAAGUGCUGACGGAUGCCCGUGAGUAAUGCUGUGCACCCGGAACAGGUGCAGGUGUCUGGGCUGAGCACUGAGUUUAUUCUUCUGUAGAGCUCGACGUUCUCCUUUGACUUCUCUGGGCUGUGCAUCUGUAAAAUUCUGUGGUUGCACGGACUAGCGUCGAUGUUCGCGGAAGUCAGACUCACUCAAGUGAGCCAAUGAUUCUUGAACACUCCAUAUGCCUGAGCCUGAUGGUGCAGGAAGAGGCUGGAGGAAGGGGCACGUUCCUGUUAUAUCCACCUCUGAGCACUUCUAGGCCCUGCUUUUCUGGCUCUGCCUCUUUCCAUCCUUCUCCCACCUCUCAUUUCCCUUCUCAGGCACUGGGGGGCUGCCUCCCGUAAUACCCACUUUACUCUUUCCUUCUGCAAAUACCGGGAGAUCUCUCUACCGUGCAAGCCUAAUCAUUAUCUCUCCUCUUUGUCGGGUACUCAGUGACCUCUGCAAACUUCCACAGGCUUCUUUAAAACGUUUCUUUUAAUGUUUAUUUAUUUUUGAGAAAGAGAUCGAGACAGAGUGUGAGAGGAAGAGGGGCAGAGAGAGCAGCGUCUUUUACGACCUAGCCUUGGAGGUCACACAUGUCGCAGGUGCCAGAGGGCGGACGGGUCCCCACCAGGCUCACCUCCCUCCUGCUCCCUGGACACCUUGGAUUCCAGCCUCACUGAAUGGCUCAUUGUCCCGCCCGCCCUGUGCGCCCUCACACCCGGGCCCUUCACACACGCUGCUCCUUCCGCCUGCAGGGUCCCGAACACUUUUAUAAUUAUUCUUACUGUUGCUAAUCAAAAUCACUCUUCUGUGUCCUCUUGCAAAAGACCUGAAACACCAGAAGGGCUCAUAUGUUCAAUAGCGCUCGCACAGAAAACCGAAACAAGAAAGAGGAAACUUCCUGUGGCCAGUGCCCUGCAGAGACAGUUUUCAGUGGAGACGUGUUGGCCCCCGGCCCACAUUCCCGCCCGGGAAGAGGACCUUCCCAGUCCUGGGAGGAUGACGCUCUGGGAGCUCCUCACCUGGAAAGGGAUCGUUUCGAAAAUCGGAUCUGUAAACUCACGACGAAUCUGCCAAAGGUGCUGUGUCGCGUUCUCUGUCUCCGAGGCCACCCGAGUGUAAAGGCGUGUAAGGAAAACCUCCCAUAAGACCUGGUGGCUCCUUGAGCCACACGGGAAAGAAAGAGAAAAAGGUGCCGACUCUUAUAAAUGGAAGUCUAUCGAAUUCCUCUUAUUAUCUGUGUGCUAACAAAGAAGACAGGGGCUGGGAGGCUGCGAUUCUGAUUCCACUUCCUGUGUGGGGUUUUCCAACACCACCAAGCAAUUCUGUGACACCAGCUGAGUGGCCGCUGUCACAAUAGCCAGUGGCCGAGCCCCGGUUGUCACCUGUGCUUCGGGCCAACCUGCUAUAGGUCAGAGGUUCCCAAGACCCCUCCUCAGGUUCAACCAAGUAGCUAGAGCCCCUCACAGAGCUCGGAGAAAAUUUCACUUAGUAGAUCGCCAGUUUAUGAGAGAGGGAUGGAACCCAGGAAUAGCCAGA